rnacentral:rRNA from 1 species
GACGAACGCUGGCGGCGUGCUUAACACAUGCAAGUCGAGCGGUAAGGCCCUUUCGGGGGUACACGAGCGGCGAACGGGUGAGUAACACGUGGGUGACCUGCCCUUAGCUCUGGGAUAAGCCUGGGAAACUGGGUCUAAUACCGGAUAUGACUCCAUGACGCAUGUUGUGGGGUGGAAAGCCUUGUGCGGCUAGGGAUGGGCCCGCGGCCUAUCAGCUUGUUGGUGGGGUGAUGGCCUACCAAGGCGACGACGGGUAGCCGGCCUGAGAGGGGCGACCGGCCGACACUGGGACUGAGACACGGCCCAGACUCCUACGGGAGGCAGCAGUAAGGAAUAUUGCGCAAUGGGCGAAAGCCUGACGCAGCGACGCCGCGUGGGGAUGAAGGUCUUCGGAUUGUAAACCCC